ACGGAAGGCAGCAGUGGGGAAUAUUGGACAAUGGGGGGAACCCUGAUCCAGCGACGCCGCGUGAGUGAAGAAGUAUUUCGGUAUGUAAAGCUCUAUCAGCAGGGAAGAUGAUGACGGUACCUGACUAAGAAGCACCGGCUAAAUACGUGCCAGCAGCCGCGGUAAUACGUAUGGUGCAAGCGUUAUCCGGAUUUACUGGGUGUAAAGGGAGCGUAGGCGGCUAUGCAAGUCAGGUGUGAAAACCCGGGGCUCAACUCCGGGACUGCACUUGAAACUGCGAAGCUCGAGUACGGGAGAGGCAAGUGGAAUUCCUAGUGUAGCGGUGAAAUGCGUAGAUAUUAGGAGGAACACCAGUGGCGAAGGCGGCUUACUGGACGAUAACUGACGUUGAGGCUCGAAAGCGUGGGGAGCAAACAGGAUUAGAUACCCUGGUA
rnacentral:rRNA from 1 species